rnacentral:rRNA from 1 species
GGAACAUGGGGGCACGGAGCCCAGGUAAAAAGAAGGGAGCUAGCGGUGUGUGGAAUCAAGGGGCUGAAAGCGGGCGUAGGUGGAUGGGUAAGUAAGGAGUGAAAUCCCAGGGCGUAACCCUGGAACUGCUCGUUAGACUGCCUGUCUGGAAUUCGGAAGAGGUUGGUGGAACUCCCAGUGUAGAGGGGAAAUUCGCAGAUAUUGGGAAGAACACCGGUGGCGAAGGCGACCAACUGGUCCGACAUUGACACUGAGGCACGAAAGCGUGGGUAGCAAACAGGAUUAGAUACCCUAGUAGUC